GGGAACCUCACAAACGUGCAGCAGCGCCUCUAGGGUCACAGAAUUCCAUGGUCACAGAAUGUGGUGUAACACUGGCUUUAGCGGUUAGAAGGAAGUUCGUCGUUAAAGUAAAGACACUGACUUUUAGUAUUAAUCUUCGGUGCCGAGUUUUGCGGUAAAUAUGCUUGUGACUCCUGCCAGCUGACGCUGGACCCCAACACAGCAAACAGACGCCUGUCUCUGUCAGGGGGGAACAGGAAGGUGACAGAGGGGGCAGAGGAACCAUAUCCUGAUCAUCCAGAGAGAUUU